GGGGGGAAAGAUUUAUCGGCAAAGGAUGAGCCCGCGUUGGAUUAGCUAGUUGGUGGGGUAAAGGCCCACCAAGGCGACGAUCCAUAGCUGGUCUGAGAGGAUGAUCAGCCACACUGGGACUGAGACACGGCCCAGACUCCUACGGGAGGCAGCAGUGGGGAAUAUUGGACAAUGGGCGCAAGCCUGAUCCAGCCAUGCCGCGUGAGUGAUGAAGGCCCUAGGGUUGUAAAGCUCUUUCACCGGUGAAGAUAAUGACGGUAACCGGAGAAGAAGCCCCGGCUAACUUCGUGCCAGCAGCCGCGGUAAUACGAAGGGGGCUAGCGUUGUUCGGAUUUACUGGGCGUAAAGCGCACGUAGGCGGACUUUUAAGUCAGGGGUGAAAUCCCAGAGCUCAACUCUGGAACUGCCUUUGAUACUGGAAGUCUUGAGUAUGGUAGAGGUGAGUGGAAUUCCGAGUGUAGAGGUGAAAUUCGUAGAUAUUCGGAGGAACACCAGUGGCGAAAGCGGCUCACUGGACCAUUACUGACGCUGAGGUGUGAAAGCGUGGGGAGCAAACAGAUUAGAUACCCUGGUAGUCCACGCCGUAACGAUGAUGUUAGCCGUCGGGGUGUUUACACUUCGUGCGCAGCUACGCAUUAAACAUUCGCUGGGGGAGUAC
rnacentral:rRNA from 1 species